GACAGUGACGGGAAGUCAUUCUUAUUGAUUUAUUUUUUUUAGCAUGCUGUAGGAAAUUGAUUAGAAAACGUCUUCCUGUCUUCUGUC
rnacentral:pre_miRNA from 1 species